rnacentral:rRNA from 1 species
UCUCUGCCACCGAAUACAUUAGCAUGGGAUAAUGGAAUAGGACCCUGUCCUCCUAUUUUCAGUUGGUUUUGGCAGCGCGAGGACUAGGGUAAUGAUUAAUAGGGAUAGUUGGGGGCAUUAAUAUUUAAUUGUCAGAGGUGAAAUUCUUGGAUUUAUGAAAGAUUAACUUCUGCGAAAGCAUCUGCCAAGGAUGUUUUCAUUAAUCAAGAACGAAAGUUAGGGGAUCGAAGACGAUCAGAUACCGUCGUAGUCUUAACCAUAAACGAUGCCGACCAGCGAUUAGGAGACGUUGAAUACAAAACACCACCAUCGGUGCGGCUGUUCUUGGCGUCGGUUUCGGCCGGCGCGGGGGUGGCUUAGCCCGGUGGCACCGGUGAAUGACUCCCCUAGCAGCUUGUGAGAA